GGCCUGCAGGCCUCACCGCGGGGUGGAGAAGACAUAAGGAAUUUGAUAAGACAGCUGUACAGAAUGGUGCUGGAGGAGCCUUGUUUGUGCACAGGGAUACUCCUGAGAAUAACCCAGCUAUCCCAUUUGAUUUCACACCAGAAAACUAUAAGAGCAUAAAGGCAAUUAUAAAGAACUAUCCAGCAGGGCAUAAAGCAGCAGCUGUGCUUCCAGUCCUGGAUUUGGCUCAAAGGCAGAAUGAAUGGUUGCCCAUCUCUGCUAUGAACAAGGUUGCAGAAAAUUUACAAGUACCUCCAAUGAGAGUAUAUGAAGUAGCAACUUUUUAUACAAUGUAUAAUCGAAAGCCAGUUGGAAAGUAACACAUUCAAGUCU
rnacentral:lncRNA from 1 species